GUGCUUCGGCAGCACACAUACCAAGAUACUGAGAAGAAUCACAUGAUCCCUGUACAAGGAUGAUGCACAUUCAUAAAGGAUUCCAUAUGAAU
ensembl:snRNA Gm25864 predicted gene, 25864